rnacentral:tRNA from 1 species
GUGUAGUUCAAGGGUAGAACAUGUGCCUAGCAUGCAUGAUGUUCUGGGUUCAAUACCCAGCAC